CAAAUUGUAGCUUAAAAGAAAGUUUUUUAUUUACAUUAAAGAGUUCACUGUGCAAUUCAGUGUGAUUUGA
rnacentral:tRNA from 1 species